UGGGGAAUUUUGGACAAUGGGCGCAAGCCUGAUCCAGCCAUUCCGCGUGAGUGAAGAAGGCCCUCGGGUUGUAAAGCUCUUUCGCAAGGGAAGAAAACUUAUCCUCUAACAUAGGAUGAGGUUGACGGUACCUUGAUAAGAAGCACCGGCUAACUACGUGCCAGCAGCCGCGGUAAUACGUAGGGUGCAAGCGUUAAUCGGAAUUACUGGGCGUAAAGCGUGCGCAGGCGGUUAUAUAAGACAGAUGUGAAAUCCCCGAGCUUAACUUGGGAACUGCAUUUGUGACUGUAUAGCUAGAGUACGGCAGAGGGGGAUGGAAUUCCGCGUGUAGCAGUGAAAUGCGUAGAUAUGCGGAGGAACACCGAUGGCGAAGGCAGCCCCCUGGGAUGAUACUGACGCUCAUGCACGAAAGCGUGGGGAGCAAACAGG
rnacentral:rRNA from 1 species